AAGUACUUUAAAUGAGUGCUAAGAGAAUGGUUGAACAAUUAUAGGCUUUCUUUAAUUAAUAAAUUGAAGUUAAUUUUUUUUGUGAAGAAGCAAAAAUGAAUAUUAGGGACAAGAAGACCCUAUGAAUUUUAAAAUUAAAAAGAAGAUUUAUAAAUAACUUUUUAAUUUUAAUUGGGGUGAUGAGAAAAGAAUAGUUAUCUUUUUUUAUGAGUUAAUUUGACCCAUUGAUAAUGAUUAAAUGAUUAAAAUACUCUAGGGAUAACAGCGUAAUAAUUUUGGAUAGUUCAUAUAGAUAAAAUAGUUUGCGACCUCGAUGUUGGAUUAGGAUACUUUAUUGGUGGAGAAAUUAAUAUAAGAAGUUUGUUCAACUUUUAAAAUCCUACUUGAUCUGAGUUCAGACCGGA
rnacentral:rRNA from 1 species